rnacentral:lncRNA from 10 species
AAGCAACACCAGAGAUAUUUCUGUCUCCAUUUGUACAUACAAAAGAGGCCAUGUGAGGACACAGGUGAGAAGACUUCAUCCACAAGUCGGGGAAGAGAGACCUCACCAGAAACUGACCCUGAGCUUGGAGUUAGAGCCUGCACAAUUGUAGAGAUCAGAGGAAUGCUUCUAGAAACUGAAAAACAUAAAGAUUAAUAGCAAACCACCAGAAGUUAAUGAAGAGGCAUGAAGAGAUUCUUUCUCACAGAGAAGGAACCAACUCCGCUGACCCCUCCAUCUUGGACUUCUAGCCUCCAAAAUUGUGAUACGCCAUUCCUCUCUUCUGAGCUCCUCUCUGGCCAACUUUAACUCAUCGAUUGGUUCUGCCACCCGCAACGUUGGCUCCAAAGGCCUGUAGCGUUGUUCUAAUACUUCGGUGAUAUCUCGGAAGGGCCCCUGACAAGACAGGAUGAGGAACAUAUUUUAUAUGGAAGAUUUUUUUGAGGUUAUCACUAACAAGACACAGCUGGAGUUACUGCAAGCACUGAGUGAAGACUGUGGGGCUAAUAAAAAGAAAUGAUUCACGCCUCGGAUCACUCACCCAGAGGGAAAUGAGUUACCAUGUUGUGAGGCAGCUCUGUGAAGAUGCCAAUGUGAGGAGGGGCUGAGGCAUGACAACACCCAACCA